ACGUUGCUUCACUUUGUGGUUCAGGAGAUUAUAAGAUCAGAAGGGCUGAGUUCGGACGAUAAUAACCUUGCUAAUUUAUCAUCAAAUAUCAAAUUCAAAGAGCAAGGGUUGCAGGUAGUUGCCGGAUUAAGCAGAGAACUUUGCAAUGUCAAAAAAGCAGCAGGAAUGGACUCGGAUGUCUUAAGUGGCUACGUAUCAAAGCUUGAGGCAGGACUUGUUAAAGUUAGGUCGGUUUUGCAGUUUGAAAAGACUGGCAUGGAAGGGAAGUUCUUUGAGUCAAUGAAAGUAUUUCUAAAGGAGGCUGAAGAUGGUAUUGUGAGGAUCAAGGCAGAAGAAAGAAAAGCUUUGUCGAUGGUCAAAGAGGUAACAGAAUAUUUCCAUGGUGAUGCUGCCAAAGAAGAAGCUCAUCCUCUCAGAAUAUUUCUGAUUGUAAGAGACUUCCUCUGCAUAUUGGAUAGCGUUUGCAAAGAUGUCGGAAUGAUGCAGGAUAGAACAAUGGUUGGUGCUGCCAGAUCAUUCAGAAUAGCUACAACUGCAUCAUUACCAAUCUUAAACAGAUACAACGCGAGACAAGAUAGGAGUUGGGAUGACGAUAGCUCAUCACCUUGAUGCUAGGAUCUCAAAGUUCGUUACAAUCCACGUGUUAAGAGUAUCCGAGCAUCACAGGCUACAUUUGCAACAACGAUAGGAUUAGCAUUCAACCGUGCAGCUCAAUAAUGGACCAUCAAAGCACG
rnacentral:misc_RNA from 1 species